UGACCCUUUUUAAGCCGAGGGUCACCUAGCCAACUGACGUUGUUAGUGAACCUGAUUGUUCACAAAUAUAUACAGCCAAUCACCUCGUAUUGUGAUUGGCUUUUUUUUU
rnacentral:sRNA from 18 species